GAUUCCUUCUUUGAAGACACCGCAGUCACAGUGGAGUGCUACCAAUUUGACUUCUUUGUCUUCACUGAAGUUUCCAGUGCAACUUCAGAGGCUUCAGUUUGGGAUCAGAGGGAUUUCCUCUCCUUCUAGGUCUCGAAUUUUUUCUCUGGUUGCAGCAAAGAAGCAAACAUUUUCCUCCUUUGAUGAGUUGUUGGCAAAUACCGACAAACCAGUGUUGGUUGACUUCUACGCAACCUGGUGUGGUCCUUGCCAGUUUAUGGGUCCAAUUCUUGAUGAAGUCAGUGCCAUCCUGAAAGAAAAAAUCCAGGUGGUGAAAAUCGAUACUGAGA
rnacentral:misc_RNA from 1 species